rnacentral:rRNA from 1 species
GUACACACCGCCCGUCGCUCCUACCGAUUGGGUGUGCUGGUGAAGUGUUCGGACUGGCAGCUUAGGGUGGCAACACCUCAGGUCUGCCGAGAAGUUCCCUAAACCCUCCCACCUAGAGGAAGGAGAAGUCGUAACAAGGUUUCCGUAGGUGAACCUGCAGAAGGAUCA